ensembl:lncRNA
GGAACAUUUUAGAUCAUUAUUUUCUAAAUGUGGUAUCUUAUUAUUUACGUGUUUUUUUGGCUUUUUUUUUUGGCUUUUUUUUUGGGCUUUUUUCCCCUCCAUCAUUUGACAAACUGCUAUGAUACAGAAAAUCAAUAAUGUUAUAUAUUUUUUAAUUAAAUUCAGGAAUAAUAAAAAGGUAUGACCUAACACUAAAUGGACUAAUAAACACUAACCACACCCAAGAAAGAAAUUCUUAACCAGGAAACAAAGCAAAACAAUAAUUUAGGUUGUAAUACCCGCUAAGUUAAAAAAAAAAAAAAUGUUUCUUCAGCACACACACUUCAUUAAUUUUUUUACAUAGAAAAACAUAGAAAAAGAUUCAUAGCUGGUAUCAUGGGAAACGCUAGCAUCGAAAAAAAAUUGCUGUUCUCACCUGCUACCCACACACACACAUCCGUGCUAAGAUAUGCUAGCAAACACGGAUGUGUGUGCUCAUACACUCUAAUCAAAAACCCACCCAGAAACACGUGAACAUGAAUGGUAAUGUCCUCUCUGUCGCUAUCGCUCACUUUCUAUUCCAGUCACACUCACGCUUGUACACACACUUCACUAGGCUUGGUGUGAUGGUGGCUAAUUUAGCGCUUAUGUGGUAUAGAGGUAAUAGGAUCUGUAAGCAUAGUCUCUCUCUCUAUCUCUAUCUCUGUCUCUCUGUGAUUUUCUUAAGUGUUUAACUGAUCUGGUGCCCUUUAUCAAGUAACAGCGUCUUUUCGGAAAAAGGUUGGGCUCUUUAGCCAAAUAGCUUCUUGCUAAUUAUGAGCACAUUUCAUUCUAAAGGUCACUUGCUACUUACACACAUGUAAGAAUUUAAAAGUGUACUGUGGGUGUGGUUAUGAGUCCAUCCACUUGUUUUUAUGUAACUUAAUAUGUUAAUAUAGAAAAUAUGAUGUGGUGUUCUUUAAUAAACACACGACACACAGUGGUUUAUUCCUUACAUACAACACAGCAGAUCGCAGAAACAGAAAACGAGCCAACCUGCGUGCGAUAGUACUGCGUUUUCUAAAAAUAAGCACGUUUAAUAAGCAUAAACAUUCAUACAUGUCAACUGAAAGGUUUUCACAUAAAAUUCAUUUUAAAGAAAUAUUUCAAACGAGAUGAACGGGAAUAGGGUGAAGUUUAACGCCAAGAUUUAAAAAAUAACAUCAAUACUUAGAAUUGGAUGAAUGGGAGUACCUCAAGGCUCAGCUCUAGGCACAAUCUAAAUGUCCUAUCUUUAAUAAAGUGCAAUAAAACAAUAAAAAAAAGAAUAAACCUAGAAAUGUCAUAAUGUCUAUUAUAUUGUCAAAUACAUAUUCAGCAAAAUUUAAGAGGGAAAUCAUGUAUUUAGAAUUGGAUUAAUGAAAAACCUCAAGGGUGAGCUGUAGGCCCGAUCAAGAUUAGAAAAAGGACCCAAUAUAAAUGACGUAUCAAAACGAUUCCAUAUUCAUAUUUUCUACCUCACUACAGUCCAGAGAAGCUUUUUUUUAAUGUUCUGAGGAAUGCAAACAAUGGCUCUGCUAAUUAUAUUAUAUAGCGCUUUGUUUUCUAAUGACGUUUUCGGUCCAGAACGUCAGUGUUAUGAAUUAUUCAUAUAUCCUGUGAUCUAGCGGGCAGAGAGUAAUAAAUGCACAUCCGCCCCUCUCCUUUCUGCUUCAGAAAAAUUCAAUCAAAAUGCAGGCUGAUGUAUAUAUCAGACCAUAGUUUUUGUAGGGAAACAAAAAGAAUAGUGUGUAAGUCUUAUCAAAAAGAGAAUAUUCCUUCGGUCACAAAAAAAGCCUGAAAAUCCCACAGACAUAAAUAUCCUACCAUACCAUUCCAUAGAUAUUACCACACCAUAAAUAUUCUACCACUCAGUAUCCACCUUAAGCCUUAUAUUUAUUUACAUUCAUCCAUAUAAUUAUAUAAUUUUUACAGUUUUAUAACAAGAAAGUUUACACUGUGCUAUUUUCGUUGGGACAUUCAGUGUCGCACAUAAGACUCUCGCAUGGUAAAAACAUUCUUCAGCGAUUAAUUGGUAGCUGAUUUAGUACUGUACUUUGGCAACCAAAGACAUCUGACGACAAAGUUCUGUCACCUUGAGAAAUUUUGAAUUAAAAUCUAUGUGAGUGUGAGCGCUGUUGAAAGCCAAUAGUAUGUAUAGUAUGACCAAUAGGAGGAUGGUAUGACCAAUAGGAGGAUGGUAUGAUCAAUAGGAGGCUUGGUAUGAUCAAAAGGAGGAGGUAUGACCAAUAGGAGGAUGGUAUGACCAAUAGAAGACAUGGUAUGACUAAUAGGAAGCAUGGUAUGACCAAUAGGAGACAUGGUAUGACCAAUAGGAGGAUGGUAUGACCAAUAGCAGACAUGGUAUGACCAAUAGGAGGAUGAUAUGACCAAUAAGAGGAUGGUAUGACCAAUAGGAGACAUGAUAUGAUCAAUAGGAGACAUGGUAUGACCAAUAGGAGGACGGUAUGACCAUUAGGAGGCAUGGUAUGACCAAUAGGAGUAUGGUAUGACCAAUAGGAGACAUGGUAUGACCAAUGGGAGGAUGGUAUGACCAAUAGGAGGCAUGGUAUGACGGCGAACUCGCGGGAGAUUUUAUUGACCACUUUAAUUGCAGUGCCUAAGACAGGAUUUGUCUUCAUAAUGAACUGGUUAGUUAAGUACAUUAGCUAGCUAAGGUUAGCAUUUCUGUCCUUUGUAGAAAUUAUUCUAGAUGGUGUUUGUUUGUAAAGAAAUAGAAACUGAGAUAUUGUAUAAGUAUUUCCAGAGCAACUCAAAAAGAAGGAUUUGCUAAGCGCUUUAACUCGACAUAACAUCAAGCUAUUUCAUUUGAGGCCAAAGCCUGGCGGCCAUGUUUUAUUUACUCCUCAUGCAUUAUUGACGCAUAAUUCAGGAUGGAGCUGAUAUCUGUGUCGGGAAGUUAUGACGAUUUCAUUACCUCUCUCUCUCUCUCUCUCUCUCUCCCUCGCUUUGAAAUGCAGAUUGGAGUAUUGCUUACGAGCAUGGUUUACUUACUGGCUGAAGCGUAAAAGUCGUCUUCAAAAGCUGGAGGUCAAGUGUCUAUAGAACCUUUAGUCCAUGUAUCCCUGCACCGUGGCUAAAAUGGAACAAUAUCCUUUUAUCUUUUCUUGUGUUGUGAUCACAAGGGAGCUCAGAAACCCAAAAAAUAAAACAGAAAAAGAUGGUGGAGAUAAGGGAAUUAUGUGUUUUUCACUUCCUCCUCUCCUGCUUUCUUCUGUUUUCCCUGAAUCCCCUAGCGAGAAAAUUGAUGGACUGACAGGACUGACAGGAAAAAUGCAGCGACCCAGAUUGAACUUUCAUGCAAUUUCACUCCAACAAACAUUAGAGGAAGAAAGAAAUAAAGAAAGAGAGAGAGAGAGAGAGAGAGAGAGAGAGAGAGAGAGAAUGUAAGAGAGAGAGUUGGUUUAACAAUUAAAGCCUUACCCUGAUACUAAGGCAUUAGCAAACACCUCAGGCUAAGCUAACACAAAUUAACCUGACUGGAAAUUAAUGACUGUUUCCUCCCCCCUGUUUCUUUCACCAUCAACGUGUUUUUUUUUGUUGUUGUUGUUUUUGUUUUUUUCUGGACAGAUCUACGGCUGCGAUAAAACAACAAACAUUCUGUGUUAUAGAGCACGGUCAUUAGCAAGCUAGCGUAAUGAACCGUUGAUGAGAUUGAAGUAAAUCUUCACUCUGCUUAGUUAAUGUAAUCACUCUCAAAGGCAGGGGCGGGGGGACGCAAUCACGAUACACAUUCUUAUUUACUUAACUUUGUUUUUGUUUUGUUUUUUGUUAUAUCCAAGUCUCUCUUCUGCAGUUGGAAAUUCAACUACGAGAAAACAGGCGGUAGCCUGAUGCUAGCAGAAGCAGAUGGCAAAAAAUUGUAAAUCACUGUAAUGAAAGAGCUCCAAGCCAAACUCAAGAACUUCAUACAUUACAUUCGAUUAAAGAAGCGUGUUAAGACAAUUGUGAGCAUUUGAAGCUUCACCACAUUUAUAUUGUGCACGGUAGAGUAUAUUGUGUUUACUAGCAAAGCUACUGGAAUCAAGACAAAACAAUGGUGUUAAUUGGCAAUUUGCUGUAGGACAAGAGGAAUAGCAUACUCCGUGUCGUGCUGUAAUAGUAAUAUAAUCAGCAACAGAGUGGUGUCAUGACGCGUUGAUUAUUUUCAUAUAACGGCGACGUGUUUUAUUCCUCUUAUACCAGUUCGCGAACAUACGUGGACAGAAUUCUGGGUGCUGAUUGGUCAGAAGGCAUUGCUUAAUUACGAAAAACAAGAAGUGGCUAAUUUGUUUUCCUCUAUAACAGCACAUUCCAUUGUGAGAUUUAUUUUACAUUGUAUUACUCCCUAGAUAAUAGCUUAGUGUAACCGGAGUAGUAAGGAGACGCGAUGGGGGUUGAGAUUCCAAUUCCAAUUUGCAUAUCAUGAAUAUUCAUAAAUCCUUUCAUUCUUUAUGAAUGUAAAGGUGAAGAGAUGUAUGUUCCUGGGUGAUUUUUAGUCAUUUCUCAAUUUAGUAUUCAACCUAGGGAUUUUUUGUUGUUUGUUUGAUUUUGGUAAUGACUUAAAACUAGACAUUCAUGGGUACUUUAACACACAAGUGAGAACUAAUCAGUGUUUUUUGGACACAGUUUGUUAAUGUUCAUGUUUCAUAAUUAUGUUUAUC